CCGAGUUAGGGUGUCGUCCUCGACGCCCGACCUCCUAAACCCACUGUUUACCUGACCUUAUCGUUGCUUCGGCAGGCCCGCCCAUAUCGGGCCGCCGGGGGGUUGGCUCACCGCCCUCCCUGGCCCGCGCCUGCCGACGGCCCCCCCACAAAACUCUUGUUGAUAAACGUGUCGUCUGAGUUUUCGGCCAUCGAUGGAUGGUUUAAAUACAAACAUA
rnacentral:misc_RNA from 1 species